rnacentral:rRNA from 1 species
UACAGAGGGGGCAAGCGUUGUUCGGAAUUACUGGGCGUAAAGGGCGCGUAGGCGGCCUGCUAAGUCGAACGUGAAAUCCCUGGGCUCAACCCAGGAACUGCGUCCGAUACUGGUUGGCUUGAAUCCGGGAGAGGGAUGUGGAAUUCCAGGUGUAGCGGUGAAAUGCGUAGAUAUCUGGAGGAACACCGGUGGCGAAGGCGGCAUCCUGGACCGAUACUGACGCUGAGGAGCGAAAGCCAGGGGAGCAAACGGG